AGUGAACGCUGGCGGUAGACCUAACACAUGCAAGUCGAACGGCAGCACAGUAAGAGCUUGCUCUUACGGGUGGCGAGUGGCGGACGGGUGAGGAAUACAUCGGAAUCUACUUUUUCGUGGGGGAUAACGUAGGGAAACUUACGCUAAUACCGCAUACGACCUACGGGUGAAAGCAGGGGAUCUUCGGACCUUGCGCGAUUGAAUGAGCCGAUGUCGGAUUAGCUAGUUGGCGGGGUAAAGGCCCACCAAGGCGACGAUCCGUAGCUGGUCUGAGAGGAUGAUCAGCCACACUGGAACUGAGACACGGUCCAGACUCCUACGGGAGGCAGCAGUGGGGAAUAUUGGACAAUGGGCGCAAGCCUGAUCCAGCCAUACCGCGUGGGUGAAGAAGGCCUUCGGGUUGUAAAGCCCUUUUGUUGGGAAAGAAAAGCAGCAGGUUAAUACCCCGCUGUUCUGACGGUACCCAAGGAAUAAGCACCGGCUAACUUCGUG
rnacentral:rRNA from 1 species